rnacentral:rRNA from 1 species
UGGGGAAUAUUGGGCAAUGGGCGAAAGCCUGACCCAGCGACGCCGCGUGGGUGAUGAAGGCCUUCGGGUUGUAAAGCCCUGUCAUGUGGAAAGAACAGUUCUGCGGUUAAUACCCGCGGAAUUUGACGGUACCACAGGAGGAAGCACCGGCUAACUCCGUGUCAGCAGCCGCGGUAAUACGGAGGGUGCAAGCGUUGUUCGGAAUUAUUGGGCGUAAAGGGCGCGUAGGCGGUUGUGAAAGUCAGAGGUGAAAUACUUCGGCUCAACUGAAGAACUGAAUAUGAAACUUCAUAACUCGAGUACAGGAGAGGGAAACGGAAUUCCCGGUGUAGAGGUGAAAUUCGUAGAUAGCGGGAGGAACACCAGUGGCGAAGGCGGUUUCCUGGCCUGAUACUGACGCUGAGGCGCGAAAGCGUGGGGAGCAAACA